UCAAUAUAAAUUGAUUAGAUUUUAUUUAUUAAUUUUUUAUAUUAAUAAUUAUAUUUAUAUUAAAAAUAAUUAUAAAAAGAUUUUGUUUUAGUAAAUUAUAUUGAAUAAAUAAAUUUAAUAAUAGUUAAUUAGUAUUGUGAAAGAAUAUUGAAAUAAUUUGAAAAAUUUUUAUAUUAAAAGAAAAUUUAAUUUGUUGUACCUUGUGUAUCAGGGUUUAUUAAAUAAAAAAUAUAUUUAUAUUUUUUUCGAUUUUAAAAGAGUUAAUAAUUUAUUAAAGUUAAUGUAGUAAAAUUAUUUUUAAUAAAUUAUUAGAAAUGAAAUGUUAUUCGUUUUUAAAGGUAUCUAGUUUUUUAAGAAAUAGAUUUAAUCUAUAAAUUAUUAAUUUAUUUAUUUUAUUAUUUUAAUUAAAUAAUUAAUAAUUUAAAUAUUUUACGGGAUAAGCUGUAAAAUAAAUUUUUAAAAAUUAUUAUUAAUAGGUAUAAAUUUAUAUGCUAGAAUUAGCAAUUAUUAAUAAGUUUGUUAUAAUUUAUUUUAUUAAUUAUAUUAUUUAUUUUAUCUUAAAUUUUUAUUAAAAUAUUUACUUUAAUUUAAAAAGUUAAGUAAUAAUGAUAAAAUUAGUAUAUUUUUUAUAUAGAUAUUUUUAUUUGAUAAGUUUUUUUAAAGAAUUCGGCAAAAUAAAAAUGUUCGCCUGUUUAACAAAAACAUGUCUUUUUGAGUUAAUUUUAAAGUCUAACCUGCCCACUGAUUUAUAUUAAAUGGCCGCAGUAUUCUAACUGUGCAAAGGUAGCAUAAUCAUUAGUCUUUUAAUUGAAGGCUUGUAUGAAUGGUUGGACGAGAUAUUUACUGUUUCAAAUAAAUUUAUAAUAGAAUUUUAUUUUUUAGUCAAAAAGCUAAAAUUUAAUUAAAAGACGAGAAGACCCUAUAAAUCUUUAUAUUUAGUUUAUUUUUAUUUUUAAGAUGUUUUUUGUAUUAAUAAUUUUAAAUAUUUCAUUGGGGUGAUGUUAAAAUUUAAUAAACUUUUAAUUAUUAAUAAACAUUGAUUUAUGAUUAAAUGAUCCAUUUUUUAUGAUUAUAAAAUUAAGUUACUUUAGGGAUAACAGCGUAAUUUUUUUGGAGAGUUCAUAUCGAUAAAAAAGAUUGCGACCUCGAUGUUGGAUUAAGAUAUAACUUUGGGUGCAGCCAUUCAAAUUUUAAGUCUGUUCGACUUU
rnacentral:rRNA from 1 species